CCCUUAAGAAAGAACAAAAAAUUCUCACUAAACAUAGAUGUUUACAGUUUUUUUAUAAAGUUAUCUCUAAUGACCAAAUUACGUGAGACACUGAGUAUCGUUAGCAGCGAUACGUAGAGCUAAUAAGUACAAUAAAAGCCAGAGUCGAAGUUAGUCGCGAUUCGACAGUAAAAGGAAACAGUUCUCUAUUGAUCAUUCUUAUAAAAGUCUAACAAAUUAUCUGAAUUACGAUGCCAAACAAGAAGAUAGAUUCGUGGUUGGAAUGCAAAAAAAUUUUACGGCCAUAUAACUCGCUAUAUAAUAUAUAUAGAUAGCAUAAAUAUAGUUGGAACAUGUAAUCACUACUAGAGUUGUUAAAAUAACGCAAUGUUAAUUGUGUCGUAUAUUGAUAGUCCGAUAAUCGUAAAAAGAGCAUCGAUAUUCGAGAAAUGCGAUUAAACAUUUAUAAAUACGAGUAAUAAAGAGUGUAAUGAAAUAACAUUCGAAAAAUUCUUGGACACACCAAGGAGAAAGAAAAGUAAACAAAUAGAUCUACGAGCGACCAACAGAAACGUGAAUAACAUUAGAGGACAAAGCAAUCGAUACGAAAGUAGUAUGAUGUACUGACAAAACCUGAAAGAGAGCAGAGAAGUAUGGCUGAAAUCGAGCAAAGCAAUUCAUCAAGAGAGUCGAUUUGUUCCUGUAUGGAAUAUAUAUUAAUGCUUAUGAAUAUGAGGAGUAAUAGAAGUGGUUAAGAAAUAUUCUAUAUGGACACAUAAUGGGCACAAUAUGGACACAUCAAGAGGAUAGAAAUGUAAAAAAAUUAAAUCUAUAAACGAACAACAAGUGUCAAUAACAUUAGAGGACAACUAUGUUGAAUAACAGUAUUGAUGAGAAAAGAUAUAACCAAUAACAAUAGAGAGAACAAUAUUAAAGGAACAUGAAAUUUGUAAGAGAUGAAGAAAUAUUAUCAACAUUUAAUCCCAUUAAAGCAAAAUUCAAUUUUGAGAAAUUAAUUGAAAAAUAUGUCGAAUGUGAAGGAGUGGCAAUACGGUGAUGUAAUAAUUUUCUGUCUCUAGUUUACUUCCGAGUCAUUUACAAUAUUUUUUAGCAGCUUUCUUCUCUGACAUUCCAUUAUCCCUUUAAAAACCAUCUAAAAAGGAAUUUUAGACAACAUACCUCCAUUAUACUAUUUUCCACAUAAUUAAUCUGAAUUUGUGAUAAGUACAUAUCCCAAUCGUCAUUAUUUAAAUUACAAGUAGUUAUUGUGCAAUUUAAAACAAUUAGUUGGAUUUCUUAGAUUUUUAUUUGGUUACAGUUUUUCCAUAUCUCUGUUAUUAAUGAUACAUUUAGGUUGACCAUAAUAUGAAAUAUCUCUUUUAAGAAAAGUGAAGUUUUAUUGAAGGUAGGGUAAUUGACUACCUUGAUCGCAGAAUAAAUGUUAUAGCUCCAUAUUGAGGCAAUAAAAUAUUUAUUUUCAUUUGGAUGUGAUAAAUAAUCUCAGGUGAUAUUAGUUUUCGGAUUGGGUGUGAUAAAUGAUCUCUAAUAAUUUAGAUGAAUAACUGCAAAGGCUUUAUUAUCUUUUCUAGAGAAUAUUGCAACCCUGACUGUUUAUUCAAUGGAGUUUUAUAAUAUAAGCAAUUUAUACAUCGGUUUAUUCCUCAAAUAGCAUCCUUCUUUUGUUGCCAUUAAAAUCUUCUUGAUUUAAAUGGGACAUAAAUUCUUCAGUAAUUAUAGUAAUUAUUAUGCAAGUUGAAUUUUCAUGAAUGUUUUGUCUGUAACUAUUUUUAGCUACACUAUGUAGUCUAAUUUCAUACAUCAUGAAGUUCUUAUAUAUUUCCUCCAAAAAAUGAAUUUCAAUAAAGAAGAAAUCGUUCUAAUAUGCGAAUAGUUGUCAAUAUCUACAAUUUUCAUGAGUUAUUUUUUCACGAGCUUGUAUUUCUGAGUUUUGGUUUGAUAAAAUAAUUAUUGGAUUUAUGUAGUUUGUAAGAUAUUCCCUUGUCAAACAUGAUGAACAGAUGGUGUAAUUGUAAUGCCCCUUCAUUUUAUAGAAAAUAUUUUGAAUACGAUAGGAAAGAUAUGUUUAUACUUACAGAUUAUUAUCAGUAUUAUUAAUUUGUACUAAUGGUUUAAAAACAUUUUUGUGCUUAUUUUUUUGCAAUAGUAUAUCAAAGAUUAGCAUUGUUUUAUCUGAUAUAUAACGUUUUUUUUUUGCAAAGCAUAAAAUGACUGUAGGAAUUUACGAAAUUAAAUACAAUGUGGUCAAUGGA